ACGCUCGACACCUACGGGAGGCAGCAGUGAGGAAUAUUGGUCAAUGGGCGCUAGCCUGAACCAGCCAAGUAGCGUGAAGGAUGAAGGCUCUAUGGGUCGUAAACUUCUUUUAUAUAAGAAUAAAGUGCAGUAUGUAUACUGUUUUGUAUGUAUUAUAUGAAUAAGGAUCGGCUAACUCCGUGCCAACAGCCGCGGUAAUCUGAGCGGCUGGCAAGGC
rnacentral:rRNA from 1 species